rnacentral:lncRNA from 1 species
AUGCUAUUGUCCGGUUUUAGCAGUGAGUUUUCCUUGAUAUACUGGAGGAAGCCGAGUUACCUAGUUCAGCCUAUAAUUGCCAAGAAAGGGAAUAAAGGUUAUUCUCCAGGAAAUGCACUCAAAGGGACACUGGCUGGUCAAAUAGACUGUCCGAGGAGUAUGCUGGCACUCCUCCAUGUGGUCUUUCCUAAUUUCCUGAAAUGGCAAGUAUCUCUCGGCUGAAUUAUUUUUCCACUAUAUUUAUUUUGUAUAAACUUUUAUAUAUACAUGUGCUUUCUCCUUAGAAAAUUUAAGCUCCUUCUUUCCUUUUUUUUUAAUUUAAACCCUUUAAUUUAAGCCUUUUUAUUUUAAACUGUGGGCUAUUUUAUUUAUGUCUUCUGUAUUCUGCGAGGAAGAUUUGUCCACAGCUCCCAGCAGUGCCUGGCACAGCAUAGGUGUUUAAUAAAUGCUUGCUGAUUAAUUUGUAAUUUUAUUGC